rnacentral:lncRNA from 1 species
GAUCCAAUUUCAGAGGAAGCUUCUCACGGCUGCUCCUAUCAAACUCCACGCUGCCUGGCUGAGCCUGCCCCGUUUCUCCUCCCAGGCCCAGGUGAGAGGAAGAUGAAGGUCCUGCUGGUGCUGACGAUGCUGUUUGCCUGCAGUGUGUUCUCGGCGCACGGGAAGCACCCACGCCCGUUCACACCGGGACUCGAGGGAAGCACCGUGGGAAACCUGACUGCGCAUGGAUGCUACAGGGGAUGGGGCACCUCGAGGGCUUCGGUGGAUCGGUGCUGCCUGCUCCGAGCCUGCUGCUAUGCCCGGCUGGCAGCGCGGCGCUGCCCAGCGGGACCGGCCCAGCCGCUGUCUGCGCCCCGGGCAGGGAUCCCCGCCUGCAGUGAGUGCUCGGGACGCCCCUUCCCGCACCAUGCCCCGUCCGCGGCCCCUGUCCCGGGCUGCUCCGAGCUCCCAGCCCGCUGUCGGUGCCCGCAGGUUCGGGGACGCGCUGCCAGCGAGGCGCCUGCAGGUGCGAGAGGGCGAUGCUGCUGUGCCGGGCUCGCCUGGGCCGGGCUCAGCUCCGCCGCCGCGCCGGGUGCCGGGGACGAGCCGGGCGCUGCUGAACCGAGAACUCCCAGUGCGGAACCAUCUCCGGGCUGAUCGGCGAAGGGAUGGAGCCGGCAGCGCCUCCCAGCCCUGCCGAGUCUCCCUCUCGGGGCCUUUGGGCUUCCAGGCCAGGACAGGAGUCCUCCGGGGCAGCCGCAUGCGAGGAGAGGCAGCGGCGCUCCCCGAGGUGCAGCACGGCAAAACAAGGGAGGAGGGGACCCCUGGCCCUGUCCCGGGAUGGGGAGCGUCCCCCGGGCAGCCUGUCCGCUCCCUCUGCUUCUGCUUCUCAGCAAAUUCCCUCCUGUUGCUCCAAAAUAAAAGCAGAGAGCCCAAAGCAGCGGUUCGCAGCGUGCAGUGACUCGGCUGAGCCCAGCGA